AGGUGUUGAAAAUGACGUAACUACUCUUGUGCUACUCAACAUUGUCAAGAGUACCAAAGGAAUCCCUCAACACUUGAAGUAUUUUCUCUGACUGAGCCUCUUCAAACUUUCGAUUGAACUCAUCAUUCAUUGAGGCCUACAUGAUGCAACGAACCAUGGUGUGAUCAUUGAGCCACUUCAAAUAAGUGUCUCGAACUACUCCUCGGGUGUUAGGAGCUGACUCCUCAGGUGUCGGAUCCGUUAUUACAUAAACAAUCCUCUCGUGCUCUAGGAUAAUCUUUAACUUUCAAUACCAA
rnacentral:lncRNA from 1 species